CUACCUCUUCUCUUCCCGGUUGAAACCAUUCCCUUCUGACGGAGUUCCCCAUAGUCGACGGCGAAGAUGGAAAACCGGCAGAUUCUGAUCAAGUUUUUGCAAAUAUAAUCCUAAGAAGUAAAAACUACACAUCCGUAGUUUUUGAAGCCAAAAAAUACAUACUUUGGUCGAAAUUCCUAAAUUUUAUCGUUUUUUCCCCCUCUAGAAACAGAGGACAAAAAGAGGAAAUUGCCGACAAGGGAAGACUGUGAAGUAACGGAAGAACCAGUAAAGGGCACAGUAACGGCACUAUCCACACUGUUUCCGGUGGAAGAAUCACAUAAAGCAUCUAAGCGCGUGGAGGAAACUAUCUCGGAGCAGCAGAAGCAACUGGACUAGCUCGGAUAUUUCGUCGCCGACAACAAUAGCCUUAUUAAACUUGUUCACUGGCUUCCGACCAGCUCCACCACGAUAUCAUGGUUCCGCUUGGUAAAGCUGCAUUUUUUCCUGGUCGUUUAAUCCACACUAGUGAAUUUCUGGUUCUUCUAGGAGAGAGUUAUUAUGCUCAAAGAGCAGCCAAGCAAACAACUGUAGUCAAGCAAACAAUUGAGUCACUGAAGAGAAGAGGGAAUGUUUCGGAGUUCCAAGUUGAAUCUGUAAAGGCUUUAAUGCAAGACCUUAAGGCCGAGGCCUCAUUUUUUGAUGCUACAGCUUCUGAGGCAGCGGUAUGCUUGUAUGUUCUGUCAUAUGGUGGUUGAACACUUUGACAUGGUAAUGCUUUCUCAGACGUUUGAGUUGCUGAUAUGCGUAGAUCUACAGUAUUUGCAAGUGCUACAGAAAUAAUUUGGACAUGACAUAGUAUUGAUAAUAAAGCUACAGUGUUGUCAGGUGCUGCAGAAACUUAUUUUGUGAUGUGACAUGAGACAACAGGAGUGUUGAACUUGAAUUUGAGAAAUGCAUAAACUUGAUUUCUUAGUCUGAGAUGACUUUAACUUCUGCUUCUCUUAAAAGAUUGCAAUGUAUCAGAAAACUGCUUAUCUGGGAAUCUAGCUUAUGGCAAGUCCAAUUUGACGGUGAAUGCUCCAACAGAACCACAAGCGGAGGAGGAUGUUAAGGCUCUUCUUAUAGCUGAAAACAAAGCUGCUGCUCGUCCUUCCGAACCACACUUUGACAGUGGUAAGGCUUUUACUGGUGGUAUCAUAGAACACACAACUGAUAUUGAUAUCAAUUCAAGGGAGCAGUCAGUCAGUCGCGGCUCAAAGCCAGUAUCAAGGUUCAAGAUGCCGAGGAAUUAACUGCAAAUUAUUUUUCUUCAUGAAGAAGUCAACCGUAACAGCUUAUGUGUAGUAUCAUAGAAACACAAUGCUCCCAAGAUAUCAAUCCAACAUAGACAAUCUCAGAUUCAAGUUGCAGAGAAAGUAGAUGCAAUAUUCCUUUAUGAAGUGAAAGUCUAGAUUUGGGAGACAAGCUUUUACUUUGGACCAGUACUAUCUCAUCAUUUAUUCAAGUGCGAACUGUUUAUACUCUAAAACAAUGAAGAUACAGACACAAUGGACGGCCUAAAAGCUUUCCUAUACACAAGGGCAGAGGUAGUGUAUGAUUUAUGGGUUCGGACGAAUCCAGUAGUUUUUGCUUAAACCCUGUUUUGUAUUAGAAAAUUUACUAAAUAUAUAUAAAUAUUUAACUGUGAA